GUGAAACCGCGAAUGGCUCAUUACAUCAGUUAUGGUUCCUUAGAUCGUACCCACAUUUACUUGGAUAACUGUGGUAAUUCUAGAGCUAAUACAUGCAAAUAGAGUUCCAACCAGAGAUGGAAGGAAUGCUUUUAUUAGAUCAAAACCAAUCGGUAGCGGGCUUGCCUUGCAUACCGWUUGAUUUGGUGACUCUGAAUAACUUUGGGCUGAUCGUACGGUCUCGUACCGACGACGCAUCUUUCAAAUGUCUGCCUUAUCAACUGUCGAUGGUAGUUUCUGCGACUACCAUGGUCGUUACGGGUAACGGGGAAUCAGGGUUCGAUUCCGGAGAGGGAGCCUGAGAAACGGCUACCACAUCCAAGGAAGGCAGCAGGCGCGCAAAUUACCCACUCUCGGCACGAGGAGGUAGUGACGAAAAAUAACGAUACGGGACUCAUCCGAGGCCCUGUAAUCGGAAUGAGUACACUUUAAAUCCUUUAACGAGGAUCAAUUGGAGGGCAAGUCUGGUGCCAGCAGCCGCGGUAAUUCCAGCUCCAAUAGCGUAUAUUAAAGUUGUUGCGGUUAAAAAGCUCGUAGUUGAAUUUGUGUCCCAUACUGUUGGUUACGCUCGCGGUGUUAACUGGCAUGCUGUGGGACGUCUAUCGGUGGGUUUGCCGUAAAAAGGCAACCCAACUCAAAAUCUCAUCACGGUGCUCUUAAACGAGUGUCGAGGUGGGCCGAUACGUUUACUUUGAACAAAUUAGAGUGCUUAAAGCAGGCUAAUCUCGCCUGUAUAUUGUGUGCAUGAAUAAUAGAAUAGGACCUCGUUUCUAUUUUGUUGGUUUUCGGAAUUCCGAGGUAAUGAUUAAUAGGGACAACUGGGGGCAUUCGUAUUGCGACGUUAGAGGUGAAAUUCUUGGAUCGUCGCAAGACGGACAGAAGCGAAAGCAUUUGCCAAAUGUGUUUUCAUCAAUCAAGAACGAAAGUUAGAGGUUCGAAGGCGAUCAGAUACCGCCCUAGUUCUAACCAUAAACGAUGCCAGCUAGCGAUCCGCCAAAGUUCCUCCGAUGACUUGGCGGGCAGCUU
rnacentral:rRNA from 1 species